rnacentral:rRNA from 1 species
GACAGAGGAUGCAAGCGUUAUCCGGAAUGAUUGGGCGUAAAGCGCACGUAGGCGGCUUUGUAAGUAAGAGGUGAAAGCCCAGAGCUCAACUCUGGAAUUGCCGUUUUAGACUGCAUCGCUUGAAUCAUGGAGAGGUCAGUGGAAUUCCGAGUGUAGAGGUGAAAUUCGUAGAUAUUGGGAAGAACACCGGUGGCGAAGGCGGCGACCUGGUCCGAUACUGACGGCUGAGGCGCGAAAGCGUGGGGAGCGAACAG